AGAAUGUAGCUUAACUAAAGCCCCUCGCUUACACCGAGCUGUUACCCGUUAAUUUCGGGUCAUCCUG
rnacentral:tRNA from 1 species